rnacentral:lncRNA from 1 species
GCGGCACCUCGGGCAGGGGAGGGGGCUUUAUGGGCCCCCGCAUGCCAAAGCCUCGCUGACUGGUGUGAGCUGAGGAGCAGGUGAAGCGCAGAAGGCCCUCAGGGGCUGCAUUCUUCCCGGGGCACCUGUGUCUGCCCCACUCUGUGGCUCCCAGGUGAGCAGGUCAAAGCUUCUGGGCAUGCUGGGGCUUGAACCUUCCCUGCCUGCGUCAGAAGUUGGCAGGGGCCAACUGGAAGGACAUUGUCCCCCAGAAGCCAGCCAGCCUGAGCUGGCAGGGCAAGGAGAGGUUGGGGGACCGUAACGGAAGGGGCUGUCGGGGAUGAGGGUCUCCCUACUGGCCCCUGAUAGCCUUCCAGUACAGCCCUGAACUGACUCCCACCAGCCCCUCACCUGCCCUUGGGCCGCACCACCCUGUUCUGAGGACAGAGAGGUCUGAGCCCCAGGACCCGCGCUCCCAGGAAAGUAGGAGUUCCAGGAAUUGGAGAGGGUGUGCAUACCUCCACGAAGCCCACCCCGCCCACAGCCCCCAGGGCCCUUUGAAGCCAGAACCGCAGCGGGAUUGCGGUGGGCAGGCCUCCCAAUGCUGCUGUUUGCCCAGGGAAUUAAGUUGAGGUGGGGCAGCUGCCCACAGCUCUCCCCUUGCCCAGCCACCCACAGGCUCCGUCUACAGCCCCGCACACCCCUACCAGCUGCCCUGCCUCUCUUCCUGCCUAACCCUGGGUACCAAGCCCUGUCCCCAUCCCCACUGAGCAACAGAGUGCCUUCAAUUUCCUUCGAGUGAACUGUGCCCAUGAGUUGGGCAGGGGAAAAGGAGGGGUGGACUGGGAUACAGACCCUACCUACUAAGCCCACAGGUCUGCAGACCCCUGUGGGAAGAUGGCCUGUCUUGGUGAUUCCUACCUUUGAAGCAUCACAGCCCCCAACGUGUUAAGUAUUUUUUGAAUAGAUGAAUGAAUAUAUGUGCUGGCUGGCAGAUCAACACAAGAUAGAAAAGCAGCCGAGAAGCCAGAUAGUCAACACCCAGGGGUUCUCCAGUCCCUGGGCUGGGAACAUUCCCGAGGCCUCUGGAGGCAGUGGUUUGACCCAAGGGUGUGCAGAGGUAGAAGGCAUUGCAGCCCAGGGAGAACUUGGAGGAAAGCCCCAUUGCUGCCCCGUUCUGGAAUUGAGCGAGGGGGGCAGGCUGUUGACCCUGUGGAUUUGGGGGCCUCUCGUGUGGAAGUGAGAACAGAGGGAGGGUAGCGGAGAACGAGGACCACCACUAGGAAACCAGGGGACCAGGGAGGAGGAGGCAAAGCCGAGAGGGAGCGGGAGGACGCCUGGGAACUCGGGCAGGGGGAGCCACUGCGCUCACACACCUGUUCCCCACCCCCUGAAGGGAGCGCCCACAGUGCUGAGCGCCGCAGGGCAGCCUGAGUGGGGGCAGCGGAAGCCGGCAUUGGCCCUGGAGGUCCCGGCGGCCUCCCAUGGGGCUGUGUCCUUAGUGCAGUUGGUGGGGUGCGGGGAGAGUGAGAGCAGGCAGCAAACUCCAGCUCCAAAUGGGGAGAAAGAAAGGAGAGGGGUGCGGACAGGGGUGAGGGCAGACCCAAGGAGAGCUUUAAGAUGGGAGGCCUGGGGGUGUUUGAAGGAAAGAAGGGGUACGGGUGACCCCGAGGGGUUGGCAGUGCUGAGAGAGCUCCUGGUGAGAGCAGGAGGAAGAGGGUCUCAGAGGAGGCAGGAAGGGUAAGCGCCGGCCCCUUUCUUGGAGAGGGAAGAGGAAGAGGAUGGGGAGGUGGUGGGGCCGCGCCAGGGUGAACCGGAGGGUGUGGGGAGCUCUGGCUAAUGUGCGGAACUAUGGGGUGUAAGGGGCGGAACGGUGGAGGAGCAGGUCUGCAGUAACUUGGAAGGGCACUCAGGAGCAAGAGGAGCAGAGAGGAGGGACAGGAGCCCCGAGAGGGGCAGGGGCCCCGGGAGGUCAGGGUAGCUGACCUGCACCCAGCUCGCAGGACGCAGCUGGAGGCCGGAGAUUCUCAGCUGCAGGAGAGGAAGGCCAGGGUCCCAGGUGCUGCUGGAUACUGGUCAGUCACUCACCUGGUGACCUGGUUCCUUAGACCUUUGAGCUGAGUCAGGGAGGGGCAACAAGGAAUGAGACCUCGUCUUGGGGAGCCUUUCUAACCCACCGAGCUGGGAAGCCCACAGCCUUACCCAUAGGACUCACAGACUCUGAGGCUAAAAUGUUUGGGCAUUGCAGCUUCAAGGCAAGAAUCCUGUUCUCGGAGCUUUGCUCAUGAGGUAUGGUUCCUUUUCCAAGCUGAGUCUCCUAGAACCCUCCUUCAUUACCCAGAAGCCUCUCAGGCACCCCUCAAACAUGCUAUGGGCACCUCAAACUCUCCGUAUGCCUGGCUGGAUUCCCCUUCUCCCUGCGUGGGCCUUCCUCACGCUGCACCCCCACUCGGGACUGGCACCCCCAGCCAGCUGUCUCCCAGCCCACUGCCCUCGCUCCAGUAUGUUCUCUACCUAACAGCCACUGGGCCUUUCUUUUUUCUUUUUCUAUUCUUUUUCUUUUCUUUUCUUUUCUUUUUUUUUUUUUAAUGGAAUCUUACUCUGUCGCCCAGGUUGGAGUGCAGUGGCGUGAUUUCGGCUCACUGCAACCUCCACCUCCUGGGUUCAAGCAAUCCUCUUGCCUCAGUCUCCCGAGUAGCUGGGAUUACAGGUGUCCACCACCAUGCCCGGCUAAUGUUUUGUAUUUUUAGUAGAGAUGGGGUUUCACCAUGUUGGCCAGGCUGGUCUUGAACUCCUGACCUCAGGUGAUCCACCCACCUCGGCCUGCCAAAGUGCUGGGAUUACAAGCGUGAGCCACCACACCCUGUCUCUUUCUCUUUUUCUUUUUUUUUUUUUCUUUGAAACUGAGUCUCUCACUCUUGCCCAGGCUGGAGUGCAGUGACACAAUCACAGAUCACUGCAGCCUCGACUUCCUGGGUUCAAGCAAUCUUCCCAGCUCAGCCUCCCGAGUAGCUGGGACUAGAGGCACAUGCCACCACGCCUGGCUGUUUUUUUAAUUUUUUAUGGAGAUGGGGUCUCACCAGUUUGCCCAGGCUGGUCUCAAACUCCUGGGCUCAAGUGAUCCUCCUGCCUCAGCCUCUGAAAGUGCUCAGAUUACAGGUGUGAGCCACCACACCUGGCUUUUUUUUUUUUUUUAAGGAAAAAUUUUUACAUCAUAACAGUACAUGCACC